UACGUAGGUGGCAAGCGUUGUUCGGAAUUAUUGGGCGUAAAGGGCGCGUAGGCGGCCGUUUGCGUCGGAUGUGAAAGCCCGGGGCUCAACCUCGGAACGGCAUUCGAUACGGGACGGCUAGAGACCGGGAGAGGAGAGUGGAAUAGCCAGUGUAGAGGUGAAAUUCGUAGAUAUUGGCUGGAACACCGGUGGCGAAAGCGGCUCUCUGGCCCGGUUCUGACGCUGAGGCGCGAAAGCGUGGGGAGCAAACAGG
rnacentral:rRNA from 1 species